rnacentral:rRNA from 1 species
GACGGGGCCGCACAAGCGGUGGAGCAUGUAGGUUUAUUCGAAGCAACGCGAAGAACCUUUACCAGGUCUUGACAUCCCGAUGCUAUUUCUAGAGAUAGAAAGUUACUUCGGUACAUCGGUGACAGGUGGUGCAUGGUUGUCGUCAGCUCGUGUCGUGAGAUGUUGGGUUAAGUCCCGCAACGAGCGCAACCCCUAUUGUUAGUUGCCAUCAUUCAGUUGGGCACUCUAGCGAGACUGCCGGUAAUAAACCGGAGGAAGGUGGGGAUGACGUCAAAUCAUCAUGCCCCUUAUGACCUGGGCUACACACGUGCUACAAUGGUUGGUACAACGAGUUGCGAGUCGGUGACGGCGAGCUAAUCUCUUAAAGCCAAUCUCAGUUCGGAUUGUAGGCUGCAACUCGCCUACAUGAAGUCGGAAUCGCUAGUAAUCGCGGAUCAGCACGCCGCGGUGAAUACGUUCCCGGGCCUU